GUCGCGGCCAAUACAGCCUCUGAUAAAGUGAGCAACGGACUGAAGAGAAUCUCUUCAGAGUUGUCAGUUUGUGCAUCAGCAGCAAUGCCAAGAGACUCCCAAAGCUCUGAUAACAGGGACUCGGUGAAAGAGGGAAACCAUUCCCUCAAGGAGCAUGUUGAGGAAUUCCUUGGUCUCGUCAAUCAGACCACGUUCCAGGGUGACUGCCUGUGCACGUUCCUGCACGCUGGACUGAACACCGCCACCGCCAACACAGUUGUCUGGGGAGGGUCCUCAAGGGAGCUUCGCCCACUAUGUGGAGUGGGUGCUGGUUUCCCAUGGAUCAGUCUUUACCAUUAAGGACAUUACCAGUCCCAAUCCAAACCCAGUGCCCAGCCAGUCACAGAGCGUCUGUCAGAGCCCACCAUUGAUGGAGAGCCAGAGCCCUUCGGGAGAAGAAGCAACUGAUCCUGCCAUCAGCCUAGAGCCUGAGCUGAUUACCAUGUCUGAAUAGGUGUGUUUGAGCCAGUAAAGGCCCAUAUAUACUUCAAGAGAAAUCGAAAAGCGAACUGAUGUCACGUCAUUUUGAACAAAAUCCAUCCAAAACAAAGUUUGAAAUGGCUUGCCAAAGCGAACUUUCCAGAAAAGUUUGUUCCAGCUGCAAAACACCUUCGUACUACCAUUGGUCUGUGACGAUUACAUCAUAGGAGGUGUAUGCUGAGGCUCCGCCUUCUUUCACAUGGAACUCUUCUCUCAGUUCAUUUCGUCUGUUGAGUCCUUGGAGGUGAGAUGUCCACAGUAAACGCAGCGAAGAGCCGCUUUAUAGUAGCAAAUUAAGUUGUAAUUCUGAUGAAAUGAGAAAGGGUUUUCAUGUUUAAUACUGCUCCUUGCUUUUAAGCAAUAUAUUGAAUAAAGUGCUAUGUAAAUACAUAUGAGGUGACUUUACAGGAGUGCUAAUUUACAGAGCUUUUUAUAAAACAUACUUUCUGUUCUCUACAUUUUUGUGUUUUUGUUACUGAGAGGAAAGCGUGUACAUAUUCAUAUAAACGUUGCUUUCAUCAGAGUGGACGGUGUUGGGAUGUUCGCUAACAGUUACUACUUCUCACGUAUUUCGAUCUUCAUUUUAGCCUUAAACGAAGAACAAUCACGAACUUUGUUUUCAGUAUAUCGGGGCCUUAACACUGCAGGUACCGGAGGGAAUUCUUGUGGAAUUUGAGGGUAUGGAUGGAUUUCCUGUUCCCAUCACACCUUGGCUCCUCCCUCCAGUGACUCCACCAUGGAGCACAGUCCUGGCUGUGUAUGUAUGUGUGUGUGUGUGUGUGUGUGUGUGUGUGUGUGUGUGUGUGUGUGUGUGUGUGUGUGAACACAGAAAAUCUAAAAAUAAUAUAAACUGGAAAACAACAACAACAACAAAAAGAAAAAAAAAAUCAUUUUGCAUUGAUUAAUUGAAAAUAAAAUAUAAAAUUAAUAAUCCAGUGAGUCCUUUAUGAUAUAUAAGAGAAAUACUUUUUUCUGAUCUGAAGAAAUUUUCAAAAGGUAAAAUGUCAUACACAGAAAACACAAUGUGCUCUUUUCAUGAGGACAUUAUAUGAAAAACAGACCAUCACUCUAUGACAGAUUUCCAUGAAAUCAUACAUUUUGUAUGAGGUACAAAAAAGGUUAGAGAUUCCAUCACACAAAACUAAUAUUUACCUGCAUGACCAGUGUUUGCUCCAUCACACACGGCUGUUUCCUUUACAAGCAAGACCAUUUGAAAGGGGUUGUAAACUGCUUUUUUCACUUAUAAUGUUAGUUGAAUUUCUACAUUAAAAACUGUCUAAUAAUAAUUGUUCCUAAAAAAAAGUGCCCAAGCCAUGGCCUAAGCCGUCAAACUGACAUCAUCAGAGAAGGAAUGCCAUUCCAGAGUGGUAGCAAAUGUUCAGAUUUUGAUUACAGAUUACCAAGACAAAAAUUUUUCACUCAUACUUACACUCACACUUUCACAGACUCGCUCUUUCUCACACACACGCACAUACACACACAUAUUAGUAGCAGUCCCAGACAGUAGGAGGACAGAGUGAAGGUACACAUGACCUAAAAUGUCCGCACUUUAUUAGCCCUGGGUCCAUUGGAC
ensembl:lncRNA